UGGUAUGAAAGGUUUGACGAGAUAUUAACUGUUUCAUAAAAAUUUAUAAUAGAAUUUUAUUUUUUAGUCAAAAAGCUAAAAUAUAUUUAAAAGACGAGAAGACCCUAUAAAUCUUUAUAUUUAGGUUAUUAUAAUUUUAUAGAUUUUUUUUGUUAUAAUAAUUGAUAAUAUUUUAUUGGGGUGAUAUUAAAAUUUGAUAAACUUUUAAUUGUUUAAAUCAUUAAUUUAUGAAUAAUUGAUCCGUUAUUAGCGAUUAAAAAAAUAAGUUACCUUAGGAAUAACAGCG
rnacentral:rRNA from 1 species